CGUGAUCACAUGGGAGUCACCAAAGGAGCAGAUAUUUGAGAUGCCGACUGGCGGAGCUGCCAUCAUGAGGGAGGGUCCUAACUUGCUGAAACUGGCCAGGAAAGAGCAGUGCUUGGCUCUUGGAACUAGGCUUAGGUCCAAGUACAAGAUUAAGUACCAGUUUUACAGGGUUUUCCCUAACGGGGAGGUCCAAUACUUGCACCCCAAGGAUGGUGUGUACCCUGAGAAGGUGAACCCUGGGCGCCAAGGGGUUGGCCAGAACUUCAGGUCGAUUGGGAAGAAUGUCAGCCCGAUUGAGGUCAAGUUCACCGGCAAGCAAGUCUAUGACAUAUGAUGAUAAUAUUGAUUUGUGUAAUUUGCAUUGUAUUUAUAAUCAUGAUGGCAAUGUGAGUAUAAUUUGUGUUUCUUGUAAUUUGAUUUCAUUAAAAUGCAACCUCAGAAACAUGAUUUGGGUUAAUAUGUUUUUUCGUUUAUAUGAGAUAUUUUUACCAUAGAUUAGUAGGGAGAGUAGUUGAAGUAAAACGUGUUAUAUUGAAGGGGGUUCUUCUAAUUUUGCCAUCCAUAUAUGCAGGUAAGAAUUUUGUUUGUUUUAUAUUUGUACAGUCACUUUGCUUAAAUAGUUUAUUUACUUUAUUAGUUGUUUAGGUU
rnacentral:lncRNA from 1 species